GGGCGUUUAGCUCAGCUGGUUCAGAGCAUCUGCCUUACAAGCAGAGGGUCGGCGGUUCGAAUCCGUCAACGCCCACAC
rnacentral:tRNA from 3 species